AUUGAACGCUGGCGGCAGGCCUAACACAUGCAAGUCGAACGAGUGGCGGACGGGUGAGUAAUGUCUGGGAAACUGCCGGAUGGCGGGGGAUAACGACUGGAAACGGUAGCUAAUACCGCAUACCAUCAGAUGUGCCCAGAUGGGAUUAGCUAGUUGGUGGGGUAACGGCUCACAAUGGCGACGAUCCCUAGCUGGUCUGAGAGGAUGACCAGCCACACGGUAACUGAGAUCCGGUCCAGACUCCUACGGGAGGCAGCAGUGGGGAAUAUUGCACAAUGGGCGCAAGCCUGAUGCAGCCAUGCCGCGUGUAUGAAGAAGGCCUUCGGGUUGUAAAGUACUUUCAGCGGGGAGUCGUUACCCGCAGAAGAAGCACCGGCUAACUCCGUGCCAGCAGCCGCGGUAAUUC
rnacentral:rRNA from 1 species